rnacentral:rRNA from 1 species
GUACACGCUGUGACUAGCAUAUCAAUAAGCGGAGGAAAAGAAACUAACAAGGAUUCCCUUAGUAACGGCGAGUGAAGCGGGAAGAGCUCAAAUUUGAAAUCUUCAAGGUUUUACCUUGACGAAUUGUAGUUUAAAGAAGUGUUUUCUGCUGAAGUUUUGGUAAAAGUUCUUUGGAAUAGGACAUCAUAGAGGGUGAGAAUCCCGUAUUUGACCAUUAUUUUCAGCUUUGUGAUACACUUUCAAAGAGUCGGAUUGUUUGGGAAUGCAGUCCAAAAUGGGUGGUAAAUUUCAUCUAAAGCUAAAUAUUGGCGAGAGACCGAUAGCGAACAAGUACCGUGAGGGAAAGAUGAAAAGAACUUUGAAAAGAGAGUUAAACAGUACGUGAAAUUGUCAAAAGGGAAGCGUUUGACACCAGUGUUGUUUUCUCGAAAAUCAAUUAAAAAUGGCUCGAUUUUGUAUUGCUUGAGACCUUAAAAGCUCACUGUACAUUUUUCGUGUCUUUUUUAAUGCACUUUUCGUUUAACAAGUCAACAUCAGUUUCUUUUGUUGUAAAAGGGUCAUUGGAAGGUGGCUUUCUUUUCGGAGAAAGUGUUUAUAGCCUUUGGCCUCUGCAAUCGGAAGAGACUGAGGUCUGCAGCGUAGACUCUUCGGGGUUAGAUACAUUUGUGCUAAGUUAUAGCUUUUUAUAGACAACUUGUUGACUAUAAUUAGUCUUGUAGCUUACUCGCUUAUGCUAUUUUACCUACGCUUAGGAUGUUGAGUAGCGACAUACGCAC